GACGAACCGUGCGAACGUUGUUCGGAAUCACUGGGCUUAAAGGGCGCGUAGGCGGGUUCGCAAGUCUGUGGUGAAAGCCUCCAGCUUAACUGGAGAAGUGCCGUGGAUACUGCGAAUCUUGAGGAGGGUAGGGGCGUCUGGAACGGUCGGUGGAGCGGUGAAAUGCGUUGAUAUCGACCGGAACUCCGGUGGCGAAGGCGAGGCUCUGGACCCUUUCUGACGCUGAGGCGCGAAAGCCAGGGGAGCAAACGGG
rnacentral:rRNA from 1 species